AGCUACGAGGAUUUUAUUCGUAGUUUCACCUGCCCAAUGUGAAAUUAAAAAGAUGAAUGGCCGCGGUACCCUGACCGUGCUAAGGUAGCGUAAUCAGUUGACUUUUAAAUGGAGUCAGGAAUGAAUGGAAUAACCGGGUUUGACUGUCUCUUAAUUGUUUUAUUGAAUUUACUGUUCAAGUGAAAAAGCUUGAGAGUGGAAAAAAGACGAGAAGACCCUUAGAAUUUUUCUUAAUAUGGGGAAUGCUCAUUGUGGUUUUGUUGGGGCGACAGAGAAGCAUAAUUAGAACUUUCUUUUUAUACUUGCCGAUAAUGUUAAGUAAGGAUAAAUUACCUGAGGGAUAACAGCAUAAUUCUACAGAUGAGUUUGUGACCUCGAUGUUGGACUAGGAAACUAGCAGGCUAGCCGUUUGCUGUGUGGGUUCUGUUCCAACUUUAAUUCCU
rnacentral:rRNA from 1 species